rnacentral:rRNA from 1 species
AAUGAACGUUGGCGGCGUGGAUUAGGCAUGCAAGUCGAACGUGUACCCCGCAAGGGGGAAAGUGGCGAAAGGGAGAGGAACACGUGGAUACCUACCCUCGGGUCUUGGAUAGCCGCGGGAAACUGCGGGUAAUACGAGAUAAUGUCUCCGGACCAAAGGUGUGAUUCCGUCCGAGGACGGGUCCGCGUCCUAUUAGCUAGUUGGCGGGGUAAUGGCCCACCAAGGCGAUGAUGGGUACGAGGCAUGAGAGUGUGCCCUCGCUCACUGGGACUGAGAUACUGCCCAGACACCUACGGGUGGCUGCAGUCGAGAAUCUUCCGCAAUGGGCGCAAGCCUGACGGAGCGACGCCGCGUGUGGGAUGAAGGCCUUCGGGUUGUAAACCACUGUCGUAGAGGAGGAACGGCCAUAGGGUUCUCUCUAUGGUUUGACCUAUUCUAGGAGGAAGGAUGGGCUAAGUCCGUGCCAGCCGCCGCCGUAAUAC